rnacentral:rRNA from 1 species
AAUGAACGUUGGCGGCGUGGAUUAGGCAUGCAAGUCGAGCGAUAACCGUAGCAAUACGGGGACAGCGGCGAAAGGGAGAGUAGUGCGUGGAUACCUACCCUCGGGUUCGGGAUAGCUACGGGAAACUGUAGGUAAUACCGAAUAACAUCUCCGGAUCAAAGGUGUGAUUCCGCCCGGGGAGGGGUCCACGUCCUAUUAGCUAGUUGGCGAGGUAACGGCUCACCAAGGCUGUGAUGGGUACGGGGUGUGAGAGCAUGCCCCCGCUCACUGGGACUGAGACACUGCCCAGACGCCGACGGGUGGCUGCAGUCGAGAAUCUUCGGCAAUGGGCGCAAGCCUGACCGAGCGACGCCGCGUGCGAGAUGAAGGCCUUCGGGUUGUAAAUCGCUGUCAGAGGGGAGGAAAUGCCGGGAAGUAAUUCAUAAUCGACUCGGUUUGACCUAUCCUAAGAGGAAGGACGGGCUAAGUUCGUGCCAGCAGCCGCCGUAA